rnacentral:tRNA from 1 species
GGAGGCGUGUCCGAGCGGCUUAAGGAAGCGGUUUGCUAAACCGCGGGGGUCUAAAAAGCCCCACGGAGGUUCGAAUCCUCCCGCCUCCGCCA